rnacentral:rRNA from 1 species
UACGAGGGGGGCGAGCGUUGUUCGGAAUUAUUGGGCGUAAAGGGCGCGUAGGCGGUGCGGUAAGUCACCUGUGAAACCUCUGGGCUCAACUCAGAGCCUGCAGGCGAAACUGCCGUGCUGGAGUGUGGGAGAGGUGCGUGGAAUUCCCGGUGUAGCGGUGAAAUGCGUAGAUGAUCGGAGGAACACCUGUGGCGAAAGCGGCGCACUGGACCACAACUGACGCUGAGGCGCGAAAGCUAGGGGAGCAAACAGG